CCUACGGGAGGCAGCAGUGGGGAAUCUUCCGCAAUGGGCGAAAGCCUGACGGAGCAACGCCGCGUGAGUGAUGACGGCCUUCGGGUUGUAAAACUCUGUGAUCCGGGACGAAAAGGCAGAGUGCGAAGAACAAACUGCAUUGACGGUACCGGAAAAGCAAGCCACGGCUAACUACGUGCCAGCAGCCGCGGUAAUACGUAGGUGGCAAGCGUUGUCCGGAAUUAUUGGGCGUAAAGCGCGCGCAGGCGGCUUCCCAAGUCCCUCUUAAAAGUGCGGGGCUUAACCCCGUGAUGGGAAGGAAACUGGGAAGCUGGAGUAUCGGAGAGGAAAGUGGAAUUCCUAGUGUAGCGGUGAAAUGCGUAGAGAGUAGGAAGAACACCGGUGGCGAAGGCGACUUUCUGGACGAAAACUGACGCUGAGGCGCGAAAGCGUGGGGAGCAAACAGGAUUAGAUACCCUGGUAGUC
rnacentral:rRNA from 1 species